rnacentral:rRNA from 1 species
GACGAACGCUGGCGGCGUGCUUAACACAUGCAAGUCGAACGGAAAGGCCCUGCUUUUGUGGGGUGCUCGAGUGGCGAACGGGUGAGUAACACGUGAGUAACCUGCCCUUGACUUUGGGAUAACUUCAGGAAACUGGGGCUAAUACCGGAUAGGAGCUCCUGCUGCAUGGUGGGGGUUGGAAAGUUUCGGCGGUUGGGGAUGGACUCGCGGCUUAUCAGCUUGUUGGUGGGGUAGUGGCUUACCGAGGCUUUGACGGGUAGCCGGCCUGAGAGGGUGACCGGCCACAUUGGGACUGAGAUACGGCCCAGACUCCUACGGGAGGCAGCAGUGGGGAAUAUUGCACAAUGGGCGGAAGCCUGAUGCAGCAACGCCGCGUGCGGGAUGACGGCCUUCGGGUUGUAAACCGCUUUCGCCUGUGACGAAGCGUGAGUGACGGUAAUGGGUAAAGAAGCACCGGCUAACCACGUG